GACGUAGGGGGCCAGCGUUGUUCGGAAUUACUGGGUGUAAAGGGUUCGUAGGCGGUGCGGCAAGUCGGGAGUGAAAUCUCUGGGCUCAACCCAGAGGCUGCUUCCGAAACUGCUGUGCUUGAGUGUGGGAGAGGCGCGUGGAAUUGCAGGUGUAGCGGUGAAAUGCGUAGAUAUCUGCAGGAACACCCGUGGCGAAAGCGGCGCGCUGGACCACUACUGACGCUGAAGAACGAAGGUCAGGGGAGCAAACGGG
rnacentral:rRNA from 1 species